UUAACGCUGAGGUGUGAUGACGAGGCACUACGGUGCUGAAGUAACAAAUGCCCUGCUUCCAGGAAAAGCCUCUAAGCAUCAGGUAACAUCAAAUCGUACCCCAAACCGACACAGGUGGUCAGGUAGAGAAUACCAAGGCGCUUGAGAGAACUCGGGUGAAGGAACUAGGCAAAAUGGUGCCGUAACUUCGGGAGAAGGCACGCUGAUAUGUAGGUGAAGCCCCUGCGGGUGGAGCUGAAAUCAGUCGAAGAUACCAGCUGGCUGCAACUGUUUAUUAAAAACACAGCACUGUGCAAACACGAAAGUGGACGUAUACGGUGUGACGCCUGCCCGGUGCCGGAAGGUUAAUUGAUGGGGUUAGCGGCAACGCGAAGCUCUUGAUCGAAGCCCCGGUAAACGGCGGCCGUAACUAUAACGGUCCUAAGGUAGCGAAAUUCCUUGUCGGGUAAGUUCCGACCUGCACGAAUGGCGUAAUGAUGGCCAGGCUGUCUCCACCCGAGACUCAGUGAAAUUGAACUCGCUGUGAAGAUGCAGUGUACCCGCGGCAAGACGGAAAGACCCCGUGAACCUUUACUAUAGCUUGACACUGAACACUGGUCCUUGAUGUGUAGGAUAGGUGGGAGGCUUUGAAGCGUGGACGCCAGUCUGCGUGGAGCCAACCUUGAAAUACCACCCUUUAAUGGCUGGUGUUCUAACGUAGACCCGUGAUCCGGGUUGCGGACAGUGUCUGGUGGGUAGUUUGACUGGGGCGGUCUCCUCCCAAAGAGUAACGGAGGAGCACGAAGGUUAGCUAAUCCUGGUCGGACAUCAGGAGGUUAGUGCAAUGGCAUAAGCUAGCUUGACUGCGAGAGUGACGGCUCGAGCAGGUGCGAAAGCAGGUCAUAGUGAUCCGGUGGUUCUGAAUGGAAGGGCCAUCGCUCAACGGAUAAAAGGUACUCCGGGGAUAACAGGCUGAUACCGCCCAAGAGUUCAUAUCGACGGCGGUGUUUGGCACCUCGAUGUCGGCUCAUCACAUCCUGGGGCUGAAGUAGGUCCCAAGGGUAUGGCUGUUCGCCAUUUAAAGUGGUACGCGAGCUGGGUUUAGAACGUCGUGAGACAGUUCGGUCCCUAUCUGCCGUGGGCGCUGGAGAAUUGAGGGGGGCUGCUCCUAGUACGAGAGGACCGGAGUGGACGCAUCACUGGUGUUCGGGUUGUCAUGCCAAUGGCACUGCCCGGUAGCUAAAUGCGGAAAAGAUAAGUGCUGAAAGCAUCUAAGCACGAAACUUGCCCCGAGAUGAGUUCUCCCUGACCCUUUAAGGGUCCUGAAGGAACGUUGAAGACUACGACGUUGAUAGGUCGGGUGUGUAAGCGCAGCGAUGCGUUGAGCUAACCGAUACUAAUGAACCGUGAGGCUUAACCUU
rnacentral:rRNA from 1 species